rnacentral:tRNA from 1 species
GUUUCGGUAGCUCAGUCGGCAGAGCGCGUGCCUUUUAAGCCCGUGGCCGCGGGUUCGAGCCCCGCCCGAGGUG